rnacentral:rRNA from 1 species
UAAAAAAUGACCCACAACAUCAAGCGCCGGGGUAUUACAAGUGCAAACUUAAAAUCCAAAGGAUUUGACGGUGUCCCACCCACCUAGAGGAGCCUGUUCUAUGAUCGAUAAUCCUCGAUAUACCUCACCAUUUCUUGUUAUUCAGACUGUAUACCUCCGUCGUAAGCUUACCAUUUGAGUGCAGAAAAGUAAGUUUAAUGAUUAUUCACCAAUACGUCAGGUCAAGGUGCAACCAAUGAAACGGGAAGCAAUGGGCUACAAUCUCUAUAAAUAGAACAUACGAAAUACUACAUGAAAAAUAGUCAUGAAGGCGGAUUUAGUAGUAAAAGAAGAAUAGCGUGCUUCUUUUAACAAGGCUCUGGGACGUGUACAAACCGCCCGUCACCCUCUUCAAUAGCAUACCCUAUUUUAUAAUACUCAAAAGCAUCUUAGAAGAGGCAAGUCGUAACAUGGUAAGUGUACUGGAAAGUGCACUUGGCAAAUCAAAAUGUAGCUUAAAUAAAGCAUCUCGCUUACACCGAAAAAAUAUCUGUUUAACCCAGAUCACUUUGAGAUAU